rnacentral:tRNA from 3 species
GGCGGAUGUAGCCAAGUGGAUCAAGGCAGUGGAUUUGAAU